rnacentral:rRNA from 1 species
UACGGGGGGUGCGAGCGUUGUCCGGAAUCAUUGGGCGUAAAGGGCGCGUAGGUGGCUUGGCAAGCGUGCGGUGAAAGUUCGGGGCUCAACCCCGAAUCGGCCGUGCGAACUGCCAGGCUUGAGCACUGUAGAGGCAGAUGGAAUUCCGGGUGUAGCGGUGGAAUGCGUAGAGAUCCGGAAGAACACCGGUGGCGAAGGCGGUCUGCUGGGCAGUUGCUGACACUGAGGCGCGACAGCGUGGGGAGCAAACAGG